AAACAAUGCUUCACUCCAUUGUCAACAAUGUGUUAACCAAUAUAAGUCCUGAAAAGUGUGUUUAACAAAAGGCUUCUUGUCAUGCAAACCACAUUCUGAAGUAGAAGAUGUUUCUAUGGUGAUGGUGUACACAGUAACCGGGUAGCGUCAUCAGCUGGGCAGGCUUGUCAGUGUGAGAUGACGUAACCGGAUAUCCGUCCCCGGGGCUCCGGGGAGCUUGCACGUGUGGUGAUUUUUUUGUGUAUAAAGAUGUUUCUAUGGUGAUGGUGUACACAGUAACCGGGUAGCGUCAUCGGCUGGGCAGGCUUGUCAGUGUGAGAUGACGUAACCGGAUAUCCGUCCCCGGGGCUCCGGGGAGCUUGCACAUGUGGUGAUUUGUUUGUGUAUAAAGACAUUGUGGCAAAGGGAGUGCAACGUGCCGAGUCCUGGAUGCAGCUCCCUUAUAUGGAAUUCAAAACCUGCAAGAUCCGACUGGAAAUGAGUGGAAAUGUUAUUGAGGGUAAUAAUACUGCAGGAACAAAAACACCCCCAAAUUCUGUGAUUUUAGCUGUUUUUAUGAUUUUAAAACAAAAAAUACAGAUCCAAAAAGAUCCAAAACAUGAAGGAGAUACAGAUCCAAAACCAAAACACAAAGCCUGAGAUUUGGGCUGGUGCACACCUCUAAUAGCAGCACACAUUUCUGUGGUGUUGUAGUACCCGUCUUGUCUUUAGUUGAAGCGGUUUCAUAAAACACUACUUCUCUUGACCUUUGACUGUCAGUGUUGAAUACUUGUGCCAUCCUUGUACCAUCUUCUAUGAAAAAUCCUAGUGAAUAAAUUAGC